UUGAACGCUGGCGGCAGGCCUAACACAUGCAAGUCGAACGGUAACAGGAAGAAGCUUGCUUCUUUGCUGACGAGUGGCGGACGGGUGAGUAAUGUCUGGGAAACUGCCUGAUGGAGGGGGAUAACUACUGGAAACGGUAGCUAAUACCGCAUAACGUCGCAAGACCAAAGAGGGGGACCUUCGGGCCUCUUGCCAUCGGAUGUGCCCAGAUGGGAUUAGCUUGUUGGUGGGGUAACGGCUCACCAAGGCGACGAUCCCUAGCUGGUCUGAGAGGAUGACCAGCCACACUGGAACUGAGACACGGUCCAGACUCCUACGGGAGGCAGCAGUGGGGAAUAUUGCACAAUGGGCGCAAGCCUGAUGCAGCCAUGCCGCGUGUAUGAAGAAGGCCUUCGGGUUGUAAAGUACUUUCAGCGGGGAGGAAGGGAGUAAAGUUAAUACCUUUGCUCAUUGACGUUACCCGCAGAAGAAGCACCGGCUAACUCCGUGCCAGCAGCCGCGGUAAUACGGAGGGUGCAAGCGUUAAUCGGAAUUACUGGGCGUAAAGCGCACGCAGGCGGUUUGUUAAGUCAGAUGUGAAAUCCCCGGGCUCAACCUGGGAACUGCAUCUGAUACUGGCAAGCUUGAGUCUCGUAGAGGGGGGUAGAAUUCCAGGUGUAGCGGUGAAAUGCGUAGAGAUCUGGAGGAAUACCGGUGGCGAAGGCGGCCCCCUGGACGAAGACUGACGCUCAGGUGCGAAAGCGUGGGGAGCAAACAGGAUUAGAUAGCCGGAUGGUCCACGACGUAAACGAUGUCGACUUGGAGGUUGUGCACGUGAGGGGUGGCUUCCGGAGCUAACGCGUUAAGUCGACCGCCUGGGGAGUACGGCCGCAAGGUUAAAACUCAAAUGAAUUGACGGGGGCCCGCACAAGCGGUGGAGCAUGUGGUUUAAUUCGAUGCAACGCGAAGAACCUUACCUGGUCUUGACAUCCACAGAACUUUCCAGAGAUGGAUUGGUGCCUUCGGGAACUGUGAGACAGGUGCUGCAUGGCUGUCGUCAGCUCGUGUUGUGAAAUGUUGGGUUAAGUCCCGCAACGAGCGCAACCCUUAUCCUUUGUUGCCAGCGGUCCGGCCGGGAACUCAAAGGAGACUGCCAGUGAUAAACUGGAGGAAGGUGGGGAUGACGUCAAGUCAUCAUGGCCCUUACGACCAGGGCUACACACGUGCUACAAUGGCGCAUACAAAGAGAAGCGACCUCGCGAGAGCAAGCGGACCUCAUAAAGUGCGUCGUAGUCCGGAUUGGAGUCUGCAACUCGACUCCAUGAAGUCGGAAUCGCUAGUAAUCGUGGAUCAGAAUGCCACGGUGAAUACGUUCCCGGGCCUUGUACACACCGCCCGUCACACCAUGGGAGUGGGUUGCAAAAGAAGUAGGUAGCUUAACCUUCGGGAGGGCGCUUACCACUUUGUGAUUCAUGACUGGGGUG
rnacentral:rRNA from 1 species